rnacentral:rRNA from 1 species
AUCAUGGCGGCGUGCUUACCAUGCAGUCGAACGAUGAACCUCACUUGUGGGGGGAUUAGUGGCGAACGGGUGAGUAACACGUGAGUAACCUGCCCUUAACUCUGGGAUAAGCCUUGGAAACGGGGUCUAAUACUGGAUAUUGACUUUACCUCGCAUGGGGUUUGGUUGAAAGAUUUAUUGGUUUUGGAUGGACUCGCGGCCUAUCAGCUUGUUGGUGAGGUAAUGGCUCACCAAGGCGACGACGGGUAGCCGGCCUGAGAGGGUGACCGGCCACACUGGGACUGAGACACGGCCCAGACUCCUACGGGAGGCAGCAGUGGGGAAUAUUGCACAAUGGGCGAAAGCCUGAUGCAGCGACGCCGCGUGAGGGAUGACGGCCUUCGGGUUGUAAACCUCUUUCAGUAGGGAACAAGGCCAGUGUUUAGCUGGUUGAGGGUACUUGCAGAAGAAGCGACGGCUAACUACGUGCCAGCAGCCGCGGUAAUACGUGAGGCGCAAGCGUUAUUCCGAAUUAUUGGGCGUAAAGAGCUCGUAGGCGGUUUGUCGCGUCUGCCGUGAAAGUCCCGGGCUCAACCCCGGAUCUGCGGUGGGUACGGGCAGACUAGAGUGAUGUAGGGGAGACUGGAAUACCUGGUGUAGCGGUGAAAUGCGCAGAUAUCAGGAGGAACACCGAUGGCGAAGGCGGGUCUCU